rnacentral:rRNA from 1 species
ACAGCAGUCGCCGCGGUAAUACGAAGGGUGCGAGCGUUACUCGGAAUUACUGGGCGUAAAGCGUGCGUAGGUGGUCGUUUAAGUCUGUUGUGAAAGCCCUGGGCUCAACCUGGGAACUGCAGUGGAAACUGGACGACUAGAGUGUGGUAGAGGGUAGCGGAAUUCCUGGUGUAGCAGUGAAAUGCGUAGAGAUCAGGAGGAACAUCCAUGGCGAAGGCAGCUACCUGGACCAACACUGACACUGAGGCACGAAAGCGUGGGGAGCAAACAGGAUUAGAUACCCCAGUAGUCCCUGUCUCUUAUAC